rnacentral:lncRNA from 1 species
GGAGUUUUAUAGUAAAAAGGAGAAAAACAGAUUUUCAGAUAAGAAUCAGGAUUGGGACAAACAUGCAUUCUUCUUUCUUUGGGGGAAUCUUAGUCGUCAAAGCUGGAGUCAGGAGAUCUCAGUGUGAUCAUGAUGGUGGCCUUCUGGGUUAUUGCCUAGAAUAACAGUACUUGUGAAAAGGGUGUAUUGAUCAGAGAUUAGAACAAACCAGGAAAGUUCCUGAAAAACAACAUGUGCUGAUAAUCUUUAACCCAGAGGCAAUUGUGUUCAGGGUGGCUAAUCUUUAGCUGACCCGUGAUUGUGUUUAGGGUCCAAUUAAGCCAGGGAGAAGGACAAGGAAGGGCUCUAAGCUGUCCUUGACUGUUCCUCCUUUGUCUCUGCAUCCCCUCCCUUCCCUGAUCAGCAACUGUCUGAACCUGUCCCUAGGAAUUCAGGGAAGGUCAUGGUGGCUGAAUAUGGCCCAUUACCUAAGAACAAGAAAUGAGGGACACAGAAAGGCUUUCAUGCUCAGGAGCCCCACAGGGCCACACUCAGUUUCAAAGGCAAGGUUAGGAAAACAAACAAAGGAAUAAAAAACAAAUGAUAUAAGAAAAAAAGAUCAUGAUGACACUCCAUGAUAAAUGCAUGACAAAAUCUAAUCUUUCUAGCACAGUGGUGGCUCAGGAGCCAUUUGAAGGCUACUAUCUUUCAGAAGGAUUUUAUGACGUUAUCUCCCUUAACAUGUUGGAAUCAAAAGGAAUAAAGUACCUGUGCAAAGAUUUUCCUUCAGGCACUUCUCUCUCUAGUCCACAAUUAAAUAAUAAUGUGACACAAAAGAAAAUAGUGAUGACAGAUAAGGGCUGUCACAAAUGAGUGUAAUAUCCCAAAGCAAGACAUUAAGAUUAAAAACAAACAAACAAAAAAACCUUAGCCUUAUUUAUAUAUAUACACUAGAGCAAUAGGGUUCCAUUAUCACCCGGGCUGUAUAGUUUCCCUUUUAAACAAAUUAUUAUAUAAGAUUUUGUUUUGCACAUGUAGACACCACUGCAUGCUAUGACAUUUGUAGGAUGGAAUGCCUUUCAGUUUUUCACGAUAUUUAUUUUGUUUUGGUCACAUAAAAAAGACUUUAAGGAAAGUGCUAGAGGAUAGGUUUGAAUUCAUUCUCCUGUUGAUUUUGUUGACAGUGAUAAUUUCUCAACUACAUGGUUAUAACCAUGGGAUUAUAAAACUGAAAGAUAUUCCACUUAUCAUCUAAUACAAUCCUCUAUUUUACAAAUGCGGAAAUUGGGCAAGUUUCAGUGACUUUCUCAGGGUCACAUAACUAGCUAUAAAAAUAUCACAGGUGGGAGUUCCCAUCAUGGCUCAGCGGUCACAAAUCCAACUAGUAUCCAUGAGGAAGCAGAUUUGAUCCCUGGCCCUGCUCAGUGGGAUAAGGAUCCAGCAUUGCUAUAAGCUGUGGUGUAGGUUGCAGAUGUGGCUCGGAUCUGACAUGCUGUAGCUGUGGCAUAGGCUGGCAGCUACAGCUCAGAUUUGGGCCCUAGCCUGGGAAUUUC